GGGAAUGUGGCUUAAUGGUAGAGUGCUUGCCUUGCAUGCAUGACGCCCUAGGUUCAAUUCUUCAGUGCCA
rnacentral:tRNA from 1 species